AUUGAACGCUGGCGGCAGGCCUAACACAUGCAAGUCGAGCGGAUGAAGGGAGCUUGCUCCUGGAUUCAGCGGCGGACGGGUGAGUAAUGCCUAGGAAUCUGCCUGGUAGUGAGGGAUAACGUCCGGAAACGGGCGCUAAUACCGCAUACGUCCUGAGGGAGAAAGUGGGGGAUCUUCGGACCUCACGCUAUCAGAUGAGCCUAGGUCGGAUUAGCUAGUUGGUGGGGUAAAGGCCUACCAAGGCGACGAUCCGUAACUGGUCUGAGAGGAUGAUUAGUCACACUGGAACUGAGACACGGUCCAGACUCCUACGGGAGGCAGCAGUGGGGAAUAUUGGACAAUGGGCGAAAGCCUAAUCCAGCCAUGCCGCGUGUGUGAAGAAGGUCUUCGGAUUGUAAAGCACUUUAAGUUGGGAGGAAGGGCAGUAAGUUAAUACCUUGCUGUUUUGACGUUACCAACAGAAUAAGCACCGGCUAACUUCGUG
rnacentral:rRNA from 1 species